CUUGCACCUCUAGCACUUCAAAUUUUUUGCCUUCUGCAUAUGCCCACGUCCAGUAAUGACCAGGGAAGUGCUUCCAGUAUCGAUUUGGGGGUUAAAAUAAAUUUUAGGGACUAGACGAAUUUGCAAAUAACCAACUGUAGUAAUUAGAUGGAAAUGAGCAGUUAAUGUGGUCAAGCUGUUUGCAGCUUCUGUGGCAUGGACUCUGCCUUCAGCAGAACGACCAUGGAGGAGGGAAGACAGCAGAGGUGAGAAAACCACUAUCAUACAUGGGUGCAGAAGCCUGGAUCUGGACAACAAGGAGCAGUCGUAGUCAGUGAGAUGCUCACUGCUAAGGGCUGGCCGAGUGGUACGUUGGUUAAGAGCUGGCUUGGG